UCGGGAAUUUUGGGCAAUGGGCGAAAGCCUGACCCAGCAACGCCGCGUGAGGGAUGAAGUAUUUCGGUAUGUAAACCCCGAAGGAAUGGGAAGAAUAAAUGACGGUACCAUUUAUAAGCUCCGGCUAACUACGUGCCAGCAGCCGCGGUAAUACGUGGGGAGCAAGCGUUGUUCGGAUUUACUGGGCGUAAAGGGCGCGUAGGCGGCGCGGUAAGUCACGUGUGAAAUCUCUGAGCGUAACUCAGAACGGCCAAGUGAUACUGCUGUGCUAGAGUGCGGAAGAGGCAACCGGAAUUCUUGGUGUAGCGGUUAAAUGCGUAGAUAUCAAGAGGAACACCUGAGGCGAAGGCGGGUUGCUGGGCCGACACUGACGCUGAUGCGCGAAAGCCAGGGGAGCAAAC
rnacentral:rRNA from 1 species